UACGAAGGGGGCUAGCGUUGCUCGGAAUCACUGGGCGUAAAGCGCACGUAGGCGGACUCUUAAGUCGGUGGUGAAAUCCUGGAGCUCAACUCCAGAACUGCCUCCGAUACUGGGAGCCUUCGAGUCCGGGAGAGGUGAGUGGAAUUCCUGGUGUAGCGGUGAAGUGCGCAGAUAUCAGGAAGAACACCCCGUGGCGAAGGCGGGUCUC
rnacentral:rRNA from 1 species